AUUGACCGCUGGCGGCAGGCCUAACACAUGCAAGUCGAGCGGAGCGGCGGACUGGUGAGUAAUGCCUAGUAAUCUGCCUGGUAGUGGGGGACAACGUCCGGAAACGGGCGCUAAUACCGCAUACUAUCAGAUGAGCCUAGGUCGGAUUAGCUAGUUGGUGGGGUAAAGGCCUACUAAGGCGACGAUCCGUAACUGGUCUGAGAGGAUGAUCAGUCACAAUGGAACUGAGACACGGUCCAGACUCCUACGGGAGGCAGCAGUGGGGAAUAUUGGACAAUGGGCGAAAGCCUGAUGCAGCAAUGCCGCGUGAGUGAAGAAGGUCUUCGGAUUGUAAAGCACUUUAAGUUGGGAGGCGUUACCAACAGAAUAAGCACUGGCUAACUACGUGCCAGCAGCCGCGGUAAUAC
rnacentral:rRNA from 1 species